rnacentral:rRNA from 1 species
ACACGACUACAUUAGAUACCCGGGUAGUCCUAGCCGUAAACGAUACUCGCUAGGUGUCGGCCACGGUGCGACCGUUGUCGGUGCCGUAGGGAAGCCGUGAAGCGAGCCACCUGGGAAGUACGGCCGCAAGGCUGAAACUUAAAGGAAUUGGCGGGGAGCACCACAAGAGGUGGAGGCUGCGGUUCAAUUGGACUCAACGCCGGAAACUCAUCGGGAGCGACAGCAGUAUGAUUGCCAGGUUGAUGACCUUGCUUGACAAGCUG